rnacentral:piRNA from 1 species
UACCAACGUAACUAGACGUCUGCACAUGGC